AUUCCCCUCCUCAUAAAACAGGUCUAUAAAAGAGCAAUUUCUAGCUCAUUCGUCUACUAAUUUUUUUUUCUAAAAAUCUGGUCAUUAAGCGUUUUCUGCACCAGAUUAUUUCGCGUUUUGUGCUAUUUCUUACUUAAAAUCUUUUUACACUUGGUGUUUAUUAUCUAAAUCUCUCAUAAGUAAUGUCAUUUUGAAAGAAUAACUUAACUUUUUAUCUUUUUAUUUUUUUUUUAGUUUUGAAUAUUUAUAAAAUAUUAAAACACAUUAAAUUUUUAUUUUGUAUUUUGUGAGUUGUUUCAAUUAAGAAUUUUUUAAUUCUUCAUUUGGAGUGUCUAUUUAAUAAGUGCAUUUCGAAAAUCUACCUUAGCACAUCUAGCGGUUGAAACUGUUGUAAUACAAUAGUUUGUGACGUGUCACUAAGGAGAUCGUAGAAUGUACUUUAAAUUUAAGUAGAUACGUGUUUGAUUGAUUGCACAAGAUACUGAUGGUUUGUUGAAAUCAUUACCCUAGCACAUCUAGCGGUUGAAAUUAUUGGUAAAACAAUAAUUUGUGACGUGUCACUAGGGAUUGAUUCUCAUAUUCCAUUACGUUCUUUUCGGCAAGCAGUUUUUGACUCUGUAAGGUCCGGGCAUCGACGAGAGUAAUCUCCGAUGGUGUAGCCAGCCUGUCUCUAACUCUGGCGACUCUCAUGUCAAAUACACAAUUUCAUAAAAUAUCGAUAGUUUAUUGAAGUCAUUACCCUAGCACAUCUAGCGGUUAAAACUAUUCGUAAAACAAUAGUUUAUAACGUGUCACUAGGGAUUGGUUCUCAUAAGCUAUCUGGUUAUAUAAUUUUCCUUAUUUUAAAAUAUAAAGUAAUAUAUAUACUCAGACACCAAGUAUAGAAAGGAAUUACAGUGAAGUAAUAUUUCAAGUUUAACAAUUUGCAUAAUUUUACAAAAAUUAAUAAGUAAAUAAAAGUCAGUGCUCUCUUCACAUAUAUAUCUUUUACGCAAUAAACAAUCAAGCUAGCUGGACACAAGGAUAAUUAUAAAAACCAGAGAAUUUACCAGUGCAAGCAUUGCUAACAAUUACAUUCGGGCUUCUCACAACCUUUUUAUAUGUUACAUAAUAAACAUUAUCAUUCUGAACAGACCUUGAGAACAUGAAGGGUAUUACUUUGGGGCCCCGAGACUAAUCAAGAAGUCGACGACAGGGCCGGGCUUUUCAUUGAAACAAUUAGUAGCUAACAAUUGAGAGCCCACGUGAUGGAAGCUCCUCCAUAUCUCAAAAGCUUACGAACUUAGGAGUGUGGACAUCGAAUAUCCAGAGGUUCUUACUAAGAUGCUAAUGUCUCACCAAAUAACUUUAUUUUAAACUAAACUUUUUUAAUUAUCCCAAAUUAUUUUAUUUUGUUAAGGCUUGAGGUCAGACCUAAAAUGUAGGGGGAGCAUCUUAUACGAUCAUAUUAUGUGAUCAUAUCUCAUAUUAAUAAUGUAACGCUCACUAAGCUUAUAUCGUUGACACAGUGUAAUGAUAUCCAUAAUACAUCAUUAAUGUCAUAAUGUAUUAUUAAUACUUCAAUCAAUCAAUCACACAAAAUAAAAUGUAUACUAAUAAAAAUAAGAUAUAUAUAUGUACCUUUUAAAUGUUUAAAAAUACUAAUAAAAUUACGUAGAAAAAGAGUAUAUAUUAAUUAUAAAAAACAAACAGGAAAUAAUAAACAAUAUGUAAUGGUAGCACAUAAGAAUGGUAAUAAACUAUGUCUAAAUUAUUAUAUGAGAUAUGAUUGUAUUUUAUAAUAUGUAGUAUUUUAUAUAUGUAUGAAAAUGUAAUAAAUAACAAGUAAUAAAUUACGAUUAAUAAAGAAAUAACAGUGGCGUCGGGGAUUACUUCUUGUCUUUGAACUACGGUCAAAUUUAAUAUAAAAAGCCAAAAAUAUAGAGCAUUCUAAGAGAGAUGCAAUCAGAUAUUUACAGAGGCACUCACUGCGCUCGAUCAUUCCACACUACGAAAUAUAUGCAAGAAGUGAUUUGCCGUCAACACAGUUAUAUUUGUUCACAAAAUACAACAUCUAUUUAUUUAAGAGUAUAGCAGAAAAUAUCAAGGUAGGAAUCUAAUAAUUUCACCAAAAAUAAAUAAGGUUUAAAAUUAAAUAUUAUGAGUACAUAGAUUAAGUAGGCAUACAGGAAAAUCAAGUGAUUAUCAAUAAUAAUAAAUAUACCAAAUAAAUUUAAUAAAUCACUAAUGUUUGUACAGAGUUACUUGGCAGAGUUAUAUCGUUGAUACGUGUCUAUUUCAGGAGUUAGGUUGGAGGUUUAUAUGCAUAGCCACCAUACCACUCUGUGUAGAUACACGAGGUGACUCAAUCCCACCUAUCAUCGAUAACCGUCAAUACUCGUGGCAUUAUUGAUAUUUAAGAAUUGACAAUCAAUUAUAAUAAAUCCUAUAUUAAUAAAAUAAAGAUCACUUUAUUUUUCUAUCAUCUUCUAUCUUUCUUACAGACCCUCGUACUCAUACCCCGAGUAAUAAUAUUAUUAAUACAAUAAAGUAGUGGAUCAAAUAAGAAUCAACAUCCCGUCAUAUUCUAUUUAACUUAUUUCUUUUGAGCAACUGUCAAAGUAGCUCCCUAAAUUAAUAACCCCCCCCCUAAAUAUUAUCAUAUUAAUACAAUUAAAGUAUUAAAGUAAUUUAAAAUAUGUUUUCUUCUUUUUUUUGAUUCACUACAAAAUAUAAAUAAAAUAAUAGAUUUUUUAUUAUAAAUUGUUAAA